rnacentral:rRNA from 1 species
GAUGAACGCUGGCGGCGUGCCUAAUACAUGCAAGUCGAGCGAACGGACCAUAAUCUUGCUUCUCUGAUGUUAGCGGCGGACGGGUGUGUAACACGUGUAUAACCUACCUAUCAGACUGGUAUCACUUCGGGAAUCCGGCGCUAAUACCGUAUAAUCUUUUGCACCGCAUUGUUCAAUAGUGAAAUUCGGUCUUUCUGUCACUUAUAGAUGGAUCCGCGCUUCAUUAGCUAGUUGGUAAGUUAACGGCUUACCAAGGCAACGAUGCCUAGACGACCUGAGAGGGUGAUCGGCCACACUGGAAGUGAGACAGGGACAAGAGGACUAAGGGAGGGAGCAGAAGGGAAUCGUACGCAAUGGGCGAAAGCAUGACGGAGCAACGCCGCGUGAGUGAUGAAGGUGUUCGGAGCGUAAAAAUCUGUUAUUAGGGAAGAACAUAUGUGUAAGGAACUGUGCAGAGAGUGACGGUAACGAAUCAGAAAGCAACGGCUAACUACGUG